CAGAGGGUGCAAGCGUUAAUCGGAAUUACUGGGCGUAAAGCGCGCGUAGGUGGUUCGUUAAGUUGGAUGUGAAAUCCCCGGGCUCAACCNGGGAACUGCAUUCAAAACUGUCGAGCUAGAGUAUGGUAGAGGGUGGUGGAAUUUCCUGUGUAGCGGUGAAAUGCGUAGAUAUAGGAAGGAACACCAGNGGCGAAGGCGACCACCUGGACUGAUAC
rnacentral:rRNA from 1 species